rnacentral:rRNA from 1 species
AGAGUUUGAUCCUGGCUCAGGACGAACGCUGGCGGCGCGCCUAACACAUGCAAGUCGAACGAGCGAGAGAGAGCUUGCUUUCUCGAGCGAGUGGCGAACGGGUGAGUAACGCGUGAGGAACCUGCCCCAAAGAGGGGGACAACAGUUGGAAACGACUGCUAAUACCGCAUAAGCCCACGGGUCGGCAUCGACCAGAGGGAAAAGGAGCAAUCCGCUUUGAGAUGGCCUCGCGUCCGAUUAGCUAGUUGGUGAGGUAACGGCCCACCAAGGCAACGAUCGGUAGCCGGACUGAGAGGUUGAACGGCCACAUUGGGACUGAGACACGGCCCAGACUCCUACGGGAGGCAGCAGUGGGGAAUAUUGCACAAUGGGGGAAACCCUGAUGCAGCGACGCCGCGUGGAGGAAGAAGGUCUUCGGAUUGUAAACUCCUGUUGUUGGGGAAGAUAAUGACGGUACCCAACAAGGAAGUGACGGCUAACUACGUGCCAGCAGCCGCGGUAAAACGUAGGUCACAAGCGUUGUCCGGAAUUACUGGGUGUAAAGGGAGCGCAGGCGGGAAGACAAGUUGGAAGUGAAAUCUAUGGGCUCAACCCAUAAACUGCUUUCAAAACUGUUUUUCUUGAGUAGUGCAGAGGUAGGCGGAAUUCCCGGUGUAGCGGUGGAAUGCGUAGAUAUCGGGAGGAACACCAGUGGCGAAGGCGGCCUACUGGGCACCAACUGACGCUGAGGCUCGAAAGUGUGGGUAGCAAACAGGAUUAGAUACCCUGGUAGUCCACACCGUAAACGAUGAUUACUAGGUGUUGGAGGAUUGACCCCUUCAGUGCCGCAGUUAACACAAUAAGUAAUCCACCUGGGGAGUACGACCGCAAGGUUGAAACUCAAAGGAAUUGACGGGGGCCCGCACAAGCAGUGGAGUAUGUGGUUUAAUUCGACGCAACGCGAAGAACCUUACCAAGUCUUGACAUCCCUUGACAGACAUAGAAAUAUGUAAUCUCUUCGGAGCAAGGAGACAGGUGGUGCAUGGUUGUCGUCAGCUCGUGUCGUGAGAUGUUGGGUUAAGUCCCGCAACGAGCGCAACCCUUAUGGUCAGUUACUACGCAAGAGGACUCUGGCCAGACUGCCGUUGACAAAACGGAGGAAGGUGGGGAUGACGUCAAAUCAUCAUGCCCUUUAUGACUUGGGCUACACACGUACUACAAUGGCGUUAAACCAAGAGAAGCAAGACCGCGAGGUGGAGCAAAACUCAGAAACAACGUCCCAGUUCGGACUGCAGGCUGCAACUCGCCUGCAC